rnacentral:rRNA from 1 species
UACGUAGGGUCCGAGCGUUGUCCGGAAUUAUUGGGCGUAAAGAGCUCGUAGGCGGUCUGUUGCGUCGGUUGUGAAAACCUGGGGCUCAACUCCAGGCCUGCAAUCGAUACGGGCAGACUAGAGUUCGGUAGGGGAGACUGGAAUUCCUGGUGUAGCGGUGAAAUGCGCAGAUAUCAGGAGGAACACCAAUGGCGAAGGCAGCACUCUGGGACGUGACUGACGCUGAGACGCGAAAGCGUGGGGAGCAAACAGG